rnacentral:rRNA from 1 species
GAUGAACGCUGGCGGCGUGCCUAAUACAUGCAAGUCGAGCGAGCGGACGAGAAGCUUGCUUCUCUGAUGUUAGCGGCGGACGGGCGAGUAACACGUGGAUAACCUACCUAUAAGACUGGGAUAACUUAGGGAAACCGUAGCUAAUACCGGAUAAUAUUUUGAACCGCAUGGUUCAAAAGUGAAAGACGGUCUUGCUGUCACUUAUAGAUGGAUCCGCGCUGCAUUAGCUAGUUGGUAAGGUAACGGCUUACCAAGGCAACGAUGCAUAGCCGACCUGAGAGGGGGAUCGGCCACACUGGAACUGAGACACGGUCCAGACUCCUACGGGAGGCAGCAGUAGGGAAGCUUCCGCAAUGGGCGGAAGCCUGACGGAGCAACGCCGCGUGAGUGAUGAAGGUCUUCGGAUCGUAAAACUCUGUUAUGAGGGAAGAACAUAUGUGUAAGUAACUGUGCACAUCUUGACGGUACCUAAUCAGAAAGCCACGGCUAACUACGUG